rnacentral:rRNA from 1 species
GACGUAGGGCGCGAGCGUUGUCCGGAUUUAUUGGGCGUAAAGAGCUCGUAGGCGGCUUGUCGCGUCGACUGUGAAAACCCGCGGCUCAACUGCGGGCCUGCAGCCGAUACGGGCAGGCUAGAGUUCGGUAGGGGAGACUGGAAUUCCUGGUGUAGCGGUGAAACGCGCAGAUAUCUGGAGGAACACCGGUGGCGAAGGCGGCAUCCUGGACCGGUAUUGACGCUGAGGCGCGAAAGCCAGGGGAGCAAACGGG